GUAGCCGGCCUGAGAGGGCGACCGGCCACACUGGGACUGAGACACGGCCCAGACUCCUACGGGAGGCAGCAGUGGGGAAUAUUGCACAAUGGGCGAAAGCCUGAUGCAGCGACGCCGCGUGAGGGAUGACGGCCUUCGGGUUGUAAACCUCUUUCAGCAGGGAAGAAGCGAAAGUGACGGUACCUGCAGAAGAAGCGCCGGCUAACUACGUGCCAGCAGCCGCGGUAAUACGUAGGGCGCAAGCGUUGUCCGGAAUUAUUGGGCGUAAAGAGCUCGUAGGCGGCUUGUCACGUCGGUUGUGAAAGCCCGGGGCUUAACCCCGGGUCUGCAGUCGAUACGGGCAGGCUAGAGUUCGGUAGGGGAGAUCGGAAUUCCUGGUGUAGCGGUGAAAUGCGCAGAUAUCAGGAGGAACACCGGUGGCGAAGGCGGAUCUCUGGGCCGAUACUGACGCUGAGGAGCGAAAGCGUGGGGAGCGAACAGGAUUAGAUACCCUGGUAGUCCACGCCGUAAACGGUGGGCACUAGGUGUGGGCAACAUUCCACGUUGUCCGUGCCGCAGCUAACGCAUUAA
rnacentral:rRNA from 1 species